rnacentral:rRNA from 1 species
CCUACGGGAGGCAGCAGUGGGGAAUAUUGCACAAUGGGGGAAACCCUGAUGCAGCGACGCCGCGUGAGUGAAGAAGUAAUUCGUUAUGUAACGCUCUAUCAGCCGGGAAGAGAAUGACGGUAUCUGUGUAGGAAGCCCCGGCUAACUACGUGCCAGCAGCCGCGGUAAUACGUAGGGGGCAAGAGUUAUCCGGAUGUACUGUGUGUAAAGAGAGCGUAGACGGGAGUGCACGUCUGGUGUGAAAGGUGGGGGCUCAACCCCCGGACUGCUCUGGAAACUGUACGGCUGGAGUGCAGGAGAGGUAAGUGGAAUUCCUAGUGUAGCGGUGAAAUGCGUAGAUAUUAGGAGGAACACCAGUGGCGAAGGCGGCUUACUGGACUGUAACUGACGUUGAGGCGCGAAAGCGUGGGGAGCAAACAGGAUUAGAUACCCUGGUAGUC